GAUGAACGCUGGCGGCGUGCCUAAUACAUGCAAGUCGAGCGAACAGACGAGGAGCUUGCUCCUCUGACGUUAGCGGCGGACGGGUGAGUAACACGUGGAUAACCUACCUAUAAGACUGGGAUAACUUCGGGAAACCGGAGCUAAUACCGGAUAAUAUAUUGAACCGCAUGGUUCAAUAGUGAAAGACGGUUUUGCUGUCACUUAUAGAUGGAUCCGCGCCGCAUUAGCUAGUUGGUAAGGUAACGGCUUACCAAGGCAACGAUGCGUAGCCGACCUGAGAGGGUGGUCGGCCACACUGGAACUGAGACACGGUCAAGACUCCUGCGGGAGGCAGCAGUAGGGAAUCUUCCGCAAUGGGCGAAAGCUUGACGGAGCAACACCGCGUGAGUGAUGAAGGUCUUCGGAUCGUGAAACUCUGUUAUUAGGGAAAAACAAAUGUGUAAGGAACUAUGCACGUCGUGACGGUACCUGAUCAGAAAGCCACGGCUAACUACGUG
rnacentral:rRNA from 1 species